UGGCUCAGAUUGAACGCUGGCGGCAGGCCUAACACAUGCAAGUCGAACGGUAACAGGAAGAAGCUUGCUUCUUUGCUGACGAGUGGCGGACGGGUGAGUAAUGUCUGGGAAACUGCCUGAUGGAGGGGGAUAACUACUGGAAACGGUAGCUAAUACCGCAUAACGUCGCAAGACCAAAGAGGGGGACCUUCGGGCCUCUUGCCAUCGGAUGUGCCCAGAUGGGAUUAGCUAGUAGGUGGGGUAACGGCUCACCUAGGCGACGAUCCCUAGCUGGUCUGAGAGGAUGACCAGCCACACUGGAACUGAGACACGGUCCAGACUCCUACGGGAGGCAGCAGUGGGGAAUAUUGCACAAUGGGCGCAAGCCUGAUGCAGCCAUGCCGCGUGUAUGAAGAAGGCCUUCGGGUUGUAAAGUACUUUCAGCGGGGAGGAAGGGAGUAAAGUUAAUACCUUUGCUCAUUGACGUUACCCGCAGAAGAAGCACCGGCUAACUCCGUGCCAGCAGCCGCGGUAAUACGGAGGGUGCAAGCGUUAAUCGGAAUUACUGGGCGUAAAGCGCACGCAGGCGGUUUGUUAAGUCAGAUGUGAAAUCCCCGGGCUCAACCUGGGAACUGCAUCUGAUACUGGCAAGCUUGAGUCUCGUAGAGGGGGGUAGAAUUCCAGGUGUAGCGGUGAAAUGCGUAGAGAUCUGGAGGAAUACCGGUGGCGAAGGCGGCCCCCU
rnacentral:rRNA from 1 species